rnacentral:rRNA from 1 species
AUUGAACGCUGGCGGCAUGCCUUACACAUGCAAGUCGAACGGUAACAGGCAGAAGCUUGCUUCUUUGCUGCCGACUGGCGGAUGGGUCAGCAGUGUCUGGGAAACUGCCUGAUGUAAGGGGACGACAACUGUGAUCGGUCGCCAAUAGCGCAUAGCGUCGCAACACCAAACAAGGGAACCUUGGUUCCUCUCGCCCCUUUGUGUGCCCAGAUGGGAUUAGCUAGUAGGUGGGGUAACGGCUCACCUAGGCGACGAUCCCUAGCUGGUCUGAGAGGAUGACCAGCCACACUGGAACUGAGACACGGUCCAGACUCCUACGGGAGGCAGCAGUGGGGAAUAUUGCACAAUGGGCGCAAGCCUGAUGCAGCCAUGCCGCGUGUAUGAAGAAGGCCUUCGGGUUGUAAAGUACUUUCAGCGGGGAGGAAGGGAGUAAAGUUAAUACCUUUGCUCAUUGACGUUACCCGCAGAAGAAGCACCGGCUAACUCCGUG